UAGACUUUAGUGUGGUUCAUAUCUAAUGACUGACAAAUCUCCUUCAUCUUUCAUUAUCAUAUAUCAUACCUCUUGCCUCAGUCUCUUAUUGUGUUUGUUCCGGUCAUAAUGGGUCGAACUACGAAUGCCCUGACUUUCUCAUUGCAUAGUUAGAAUACAUAGGCACGAGGAUUCAGAUUCUCCGUGAGCUACCUUAUUUAUUAAUUCCCCAUUCAUCAAUC
rnacentral:lncRNA from 1 species